CGGUCAAGCACUCGACAAGCAAACUGCAAACAGCAAGCCCCAGCUCGCUCUCCCAAAACCCCAAGCGCCAAGCCCCAACCCGCGCCGCCGCCGCCGCUGGCUCUCCGCUCGGACCUCGGACGCUCGGUCGGCGCUCGCUCUCCCAAAACCCCAAGCGCCAGUCCCCAACUCCCCAUGCUGAGUCGCUGAGACGCUGAGCGGCUGAGGCAUCCUGCUCCUGCCUCCAGCAGUCCAGCGGUCCACCCUCCUGCAGUCCUCCUCGGCUGCUCCUGCAUCCAUGGCGGUGACCAAUGACACCACAAACGACGACGGCCGGGAUGCCGCUGCCACUUCGACCGAGCACCGCCUGCCGGAUCCGAAGGACAAGAGCAACAACGGCGAUGGAGACCCAAAAGCACCUGCCGGGUAUGGGUUACCCGUCGGGUAACAAUAUCCACUUGGGUACAGGCAUGGGUAAACAUUUCUACCCGAACCGGGUAUGGGUAUUGUGCCGGGUACAUUUUUUUGUCGCAGGUGCGAGUAUGAAAAGAUAAUAUCCGGCGGGUACGUACCCGUUGCCAUC